GUUUAAUUGCCGUGUUGGCACUUUAAGGAGAAAAAAAGUUGGCAUGUAUUGCGGUUUGGGCACUCGGGCUCAAAAAGGUUCGCCAUCACUGCCCUACAGUAAGAAAACAGUGCAACAAAUGCUAAUGCCGGUCACUGAUUAUGGGGAUGUAGUGUAUGCACCCACACCACAAACCCACCUUAAUAAACUUAAUAAGUUAUAUAAUACAUUCUACUGCUUUGUACUAGAAUGCAAUUACUUUACCCACCACUGU